GAGAGUAUAGCUCAGUGGCAGAGAGCGUGCUUAGCACGCACGAGGUCCCGGGUUCAAUCCCCAGCACUUCCA
rnacentral:tRNA from 1 species